rnacentral:rRNA from 1 species
CGGGCGGCUGCAGCAGUGAGGAAUAUUGCACAAUGGGGGGAACCCUGAUGCAGCAACGCCGCGUGGAGGAUGACGCAUUUCGGUGUGUAAACUCCUUUUAUAUGUCAAGAAAAUGACAGUAGCAUAUGAAUAAGCACCGGCUAACUCCGUGCCAGCAGCCGCGGUAAUACGGAGGGUGCAAGCGUUACUCGGAAUCACUGGGCGUAAAGGACGCGUAGGCGGGUUGGAAAGUCAGGUGUGAAAUCCUACAGCUUAACUGUAGAACUGCACUUGAAACUUCUAAUCUAGAGUAUGGGAGGGGGAGAUGGAAUUAGUGGUGUAGGGGUAAAAUCCGUAGAUAUCACUAGGAAUACCUAAAGCGAAGGCGAUCUCCUGGAACAUUACUGACGCUAAGGCGUGAAAGCGUGGGGAGCAAACAGGAUUAGAUACCCGGGUAGUC